rnacentral:lncRNA from 1 species
CCAGGUACCUCAUUUUACAGGUGAGGACAUCGGAGCCUGGAGAGAAAUAACUUGUCCAAGGUCAUUCAGUAUCAGAGUGGUAGAGCCCACACAGUUCCCAAGGCCUUUUCUCCCAGGCGGAGAGCUCUUUCCCUCUCCCUGUGAUGUGGCUGCUGCAGCCACACAAACCAACUGUUCUUGUUACACGUGUCAUGGUCAAAUGUCCACUAGCUGCCCAAGGGCAAGAUGAGUUACAAGAGCAAUUCUUCCCAUGACUUUACAGUUGUCAGGAGGGGUCAAGGACGCUUUCAAGAUUCACACUCUGACCGUGGCAAGCCAGGUUCUCGGAGGGUUAAAUGACUGAUGAAAAGAAAGCCAAAGGCUGAGUCAGAACCAGGGACAGAACGGCUGGCACAGCCCUGUCUUGCUGGGGAAGGCAAAGUUCUCCAUUUUGGCAAGGUCCGUGAAUGUCUCUUUUUGCUUUUCCUGGGUCUCUGGUGCACUUGUUGGAUUGAAUCUUAAAGCAUACCCUGAAUGCUAAACAUCUCAGGAUAAUGCACUAAGUCCUUCCUCAGCUGGGCUGGCCCAUCUUUCUACAGCCUCACCCUAAUAUACCUACUCUGCUCAGGGCACAGGAAACAUAGCCCACACUUUCACAUCUUCAUUUACUUUUUUUUUGGUUAUUCUCUCCACCAGGAAUAUCUUCCCCUCUUUAACUGGCAAACCUGCACUUGACUUUGAGGAUGGAGUUUAAAUGCCUGCUCCUUUUCAUAGCCUCCUCUGGCUCUUCUCUCCUAGUCCCCUCACUUGUCUUCCCAGAGAACUCUGUUCCUGGCACCUCUCUGCCCUUCCUGAGUUGAAUUCUAGCUAUUUGUUAACAUGUUUUCUCCUAUGGCUGUCCUGAGGCUCUCUCAAGGACAGUGACUCAGUCAUAUUCAUCUUUGUACCCUGGGUUGUCAGCUCAGUUACUGGGACACAGAGGGAACAAAAGAAUUACUACUUUAAACUACACAGAAAUGCAUCUACUUAAGGAAAACUUUGCUCCAAGUUCCCAAAUGGAAAAGCCAAUGAAGGAGUUGUUGUUGUUGUUGUUGUCGUUUGCCCCUAAGAGUAUAGCAAAGGCCCCCAACCAGCCAGUUUUCAUUCUGAAUGGUAAAGUGUCAUUUUACAAGCUGCUGCCACGAGCAAGCCUCCACGCAUGUCGAAUGCACACUUGUAUGCAUGCACACACACAUAGGAGCUAGAAGGAGCUGGUUGCUCUAUGGCAAGAAGCAGCAAAGAAGAUAAGAUCACCAUACUGCAAAGGAAGGUAAGCCACGUGAUGAUGUGGGUAACCCCAGGCACAGAUGAUACCCUCAGCGAGGCCCAGCUUAAAUCUAACCACAUCAACUUUUCAUGAAACAGACAUGAAAAAGUAAGACUAAGACAAUUACAAAAAAGGUGGUUUAAUGCCUUCUUGCCUCGAUGGUAUCAAAGCUAUUGGCUCCAGGGCUACACUUGGGGAAACAAUUCUUUGAGAUAAGGAGAUGAACUAUCUGCUCAAAAGAAUGUGCAGGAAGCCAAGGUAACUGGGCAACACAUAAUGAAACGGUUUGUGGCCAAUGAGCCGUCUAAACAAAAAUAUCCCUGGUAGGCAUCAGUUGUAUAAGUGAAGGAAACCAAACCCACCCUUGUUUCAAAGUGAAGACUUUGUGGGUGCCAGUGUGUGAGUGUGUGUGUGUGUGUCCUCACUAAAUAUUAUAGUUAAAGUGAAAUUCACAAGUCCUCCAGCUGUGGCUGACACUGGUAUAAAAUGAAAAGGUUGAGAAGGUGAGACUAGUUGUCAUACAGCAACCUUGAAGUGCCUUUCCGGGUGGCACUGCCUGCUAUGUGAAGGCUCAUUUGCUGAAUGACCAUCACUACGUCAACACAAAUUGAGAUCUCAGCAUUGAUUUAUCGGUGUGUGUCCCAGAAAGACACACUGCAUUUCAGCAUCACGGUAUUCUGAUGUAGUUAGGUUCUGAAUUCUCUGAGCCACAGACGAUGGCAAUCUUUUGAUGAUUCUUUAAGGUCCCCAGAUCCACAGAAUGUGACAGCUGGGAUGAGCUUCCGGGGGUGCCGAUUGGAAGCUUUACAGGCUCUAAAACUUGCUACUGAAUCUCAGCUCUGGCAUUAGUCGGUGUUCUUUGAUUUCAGGCUGGAUGACAGGGUCAAGAUGCCAGCCCACCAAAUCCAUCAUCGGAAAGAAACUCGGGGCCAGCCCAUCUCCUAAAAGCUGAGUAUGUUGCACAGAUUGCUGGUUCUAAAUA